CAGAAUUUCUGUGAUUUUACUGGAAUGCCUUUUUGAUCUAAAGUAUUUACACAACAUUAGUAUACAAAUUCCGCAGGUCUUCCUAAUUAUUUCAGAAUUUGAUGAGUUACAGAAGUUUGGUAUUUAUGCUGAUCGUUACGAACUGUUCUGUUUUAGACAUAUUCUGUAUUUUGCUUACGUAGUUUGCUUGUUUUGAUGAUGCUAUUGAUUGUGUCGUGGGGUAUAAGCCAUGGAUAAGUUAGUGUACAAUAAAUUAUUCAAUAAUUAAAUAUGAAUCAAUUUAUAAGAGUAACUAAAGUUUAUGAAUGUCCUAUUAUACUAACGGAUCUCAUGAGGUUUGUGUUAAGUUUUGUGUGAUUUAAGUUUUUAAGUUUUGGGUGAGAUACCAUUAUGAGGAUAAUAAGGAUCGCCAAGACUAUAAGCUUGGGGAUUUCCAAGGCACCCCAAGCUUUUGAGACUUAGGUAAAACUAGGAUAUAAGAAGAUUGAACGAGAUACAAAAAAUCAUGCUUGAGGAUGCUCAAGGCACCUAAGUAAAUAUUACAAGAAGUUUCAAGCAUCUAACCUUGGGGAUGAUAUGCAUCCCACCUCUCUCCGUCAAUAAUUAUCGGUUAGCUAAUGUUGAUCCUAAGUUUUCAUUCGUUCACAUGUGAUUUUAUUGGAGCAAAUUUUGUGUUUACUAUUCCCUUUUAUUUUAUGCACAAUGCUAUUAUGAGAUAGUAUUUGUUUGAUUUAUAGAAUGCUUUAUGCGCUUCA